UCUCUGGUAGUAUAUCGGUUAGUACACGCGCCUGUCAUAUCAGACCUGAGUCUAUUGUCGCGCGAAAGCUGGGUUCGACUCCCAGCCAGAGAG